rnacentral:misc_RNA from 1 species
UCCGGCUUAUCACCGGCAGUCCCCUUAGAGUGCCCAACUAAAUGAUGGCAACUAAGGGCGAGGGUUGCGCUCGUUGCGGGACUUAACCCAACACCUCACGGCACGAGCUGACGACAGCCAUGCAGCACCUGUGACUGCUCCCGACUUUACGGGUGGUUCCCCUUUCGGGCACACCCAGCUCUCACCGGGCUUCCAGACAUGUCAAGGGUAGGUAAGGUUGUUCGCGUUGCAUCGAAUUAAUCCACAUCAUCCACCGCUUGUGCGGGUCCCCGUCAAUUCCUUUGAGUUUUAAUCUUGCGACCGUACUCCCCAGGCGGGAUGCUUAAUGCGUUAGCUGCGCCACUGACAGGCAAGCCUGCCAACGGCUAGCAUCCAUCGUUUACGGCGUGGACUAC